rnacentral:rRNA from 1 species
CAGCCGCCACGGUAAUACGAAGGGGGCUAGCGUUGUUCGGAAUUACUGGGCGUAAAGCGCACGUAGGCGGAUAUUUAAGUCAGGGGUGAAAUCCCAGAGCUCAACUCUGGAACUGCCUUUGAUACUGGGUAUCUUGAGUAUGGAAGAGGUGAGUGGAAUUCCGAGUGUAGAGGUGAAAUUCGUAGAUAUUCGCAAGAACACCAGUGGCGAAGGCGGCUUACUGGCUCGAAACUGACGCUGAGGCGCGAAAGCGUGGGGAGCAAACAGGAUUAGAUACCCCUGUAGUCCCUGUCUCUUAUAC